rnacentral:rRNA from 1 species
AACGGCGAGUGAAGCGGGAAGAGCUCAAAUUUGUAAUCUGGCGGUCUCAGGCCGUCCGAGUUGUAGUCUGGAGAAGCGUUUUCCGUGCUGGACCGUGUACAAGUCCCUUGGAACAGGGCGUCAUAGAGGGUGAGAAUCCCGUCUUUGACACGGACUACCAGUGCUUUGUGAUGCGCUCUCAAAGAGUCGAGUUGUUUGGGAAUGCAGCUCAAAACGGGUGGUAAAUUCCAUCUAAAGCUAAAUAUUGGCGAAAGACCGAUAGCGAACAAGUACCGUGAGGGAAAGAUGAAAAGCACUUUGGAAAGAGAGUUAAACAGUACGUGAAAUUGUUGAAAGGGAAACGAUUGAAGUCAGUCGCGUCUCUCAGGACUCAGCCUGGCUUUUGCCUGGUGCAUUUCCUGGGGUGACGGGCCAGCAUCAAUUUCGGUCGACGGAAAAAGGCAGGGGAAAUGUGGCACCUUCGGGUGUGUUAUAGUCCUCUGUCGUAUGCGUCGGCUGGGAUUGAGGAUCGCAGCACGCCUUUAAUGGCCGGGGGUUCGCCCACGUAACGUGCUUAGGAUGCUGGCGUAAUGGCUUUAAACGACCCGUCUUGAAACACGGACCAAGGAGUCUAACAUGCCUGCGAGUGUUUGGGUGGAAAACCCGGACGCGGAAUGAAAGUGAAAAGUUGGGACCUCUGUCGUGGAGGGCACCGACGCCCGGACCAGACCUUUUGUGACGGUUCCGAGGUAGAGCAUGCAUGCUGGGACCCGAAAGAUGGUGAACUAUGCCUGAGUAGGGUGAAGCCAGAGGAAACUCUGGUGGAGGCUCGUAGCGAUUCUGACGUGCAAAUCGAUCGUCGAACUUGGGUAUAGGGGCGAAAGCCUAAUC